GCGGACGUGGCGGAACAGGUAGACGCAAGGGACUUAAAAUCCCUCGGGGACUCCCCGUGCGGGUUCGAUUCCCGCCGUCCGCA
rnacentral:tRNA from 2 species